UAGUCCACGCCGUAAACGAUGUCUACUAGCCGUUGGGGGGCUUGACCCCUUAGUGGCGCAGCUAACGCGUUAAGUAGACCGCCUGGGGAGUACGGCCGCAAGGUUAAAACUCAAAUGAAUUGACGGGGGCCCGCACAAGCGGUGGAGCAUGUGGUUUAAUUCGAUGCAACGCGAAGAACCUUACCAGGCCUUGACAUCCCGAGAAGUCGCUAGAGAUAGCUUCGUGCCUUCGGGAACUCGGUGACAGGUGCUGCAUGGCUGUCGUCAGCUCGUGUCGUGAGAUGUUGGGUUAAGUCCCGNAACGAGCGCAACCCUUGCCUUAGUUGCUAGCAGGUUAUGCUGAGAACUCUAAGGNGACUGCCGGUGACAAACCGGGAGGAAGGUGGGGACGACGUCAAGUCAUCAUGGCCCUUACGGCCUGGGCUACACACGUGCUACAAUGGGACGCACAGAGGGCUGCAAACCCGCGGGGGGAGCGUAAUCCCACAAAACGUCUCGUAGUCCAGAUUGGAGU
rnacentral:rRNA from 1 species